rnacentral:rRNA from 1 species
CCUACGGGCGGCAGCAGUGGGGAAUAUUGGACAAUGGGCGAAAGCCUGAUCCAGCCAUGCCGCGUGUGUGAAGAAGGCCUUCGGGUUGUAAAGCACUUUCAGUGGGGAAGAAAGCCUUGGGGCUAAUACCCUCGAGGAAGGACAUCACCCACAGAAGAAGCACCGGCUAACUCCGUGCCAGCAGCCGCGGUAAUACGGAGGGUGCGAGCGUUAAUCGGAAUUACUGGGCGUAAAGCGCGCGUAGGCGGUCUGAUAAGCCGGUUGUGAAAGCCCCGGGCUCAACCUGGGAACGGCAUCCGGAACUGUCAGGCUAGAGUGCAGGAGAGGAAGGUAGAACUCCCGGUGUAGCGGUGAAAUGCGUAGAGAUCGGGAGGAAUACCAGUGGCGAAGGCGGUCUUCUGGACUGACACUGACGCUGAGGUGCGAAAGCGUGGGUAGCAAACAGGAUUAGAUACCCUUGUAGUC